UGAUUUGUGUUAUUUUUUUCAGAACAUGGUCCGCGAACAUUGUUGAAAUUCUAAGGCGUAAGGUAAUGAGACAAUAAUGUAUUUUUUGUUUUUUUUUGUCAGGAUUCAAAACUAGUAAACUUGUUGGAUGCCGGUGCCCGUUAGAUACCCCGUGGAUGCGUUAUUGUUAAACCGAUCGACGCCGAUGUGAAUACUGCGUUUCCGAAAGAGUGUUUAAAAUGAUUAGCAGC